rnacentral:lncRNA from 12 species
GCUAGGGAAGCACUGGGUAUCUUGAGAGCAGGCACUAAUGGAUAGUCUCUUUUGGGUGUACCACUGGGUGACUCCAAUGUUUUCUUAUCUUUGUGUCACUCUGAUUAAGAUCUGAAUGUCUACAAGAAGGACUCUCAUUGGCUUAUAUAUCACAUAGACUCUCCUCAACCAAGGAACAACAAACACUGGAAAAGAUCCUCCCACAAGAUUGCAUGCACUGGGGAAGGAUCAUUCUCCAGGAGCAACUGGAGGAGAGGUCCUGUGAACAGAGGAGAGGGAAUGUGCAUGGUACCUGAUUCACAAGAAACACGGAGAAUGGGCUGAUCUACAUACAUCCUUCCUGUGCACCAAAUGGAAACAUUUGUCCCAUCUCAUCAGAUCCAGGAUCAACACCCCAUCUCAUCAGAUCCAGGUGAAGAGCUCCUGCACAGGGAUAUACAUGCAAGAAGAUCUGCUCUUUAUCCAUAUCUUUUCUGGCUCAUUAUAUUUUAUAAAACCCUGAGAGAGUCAGCUCCCAGGAAAUCCAGCCCAUGACAAGAGUGAGUGGUUGCAUCUCGUUUACCUUAAGCCAAGCCAGUGGUACACCAGAGGACCCCUGGAGAGCUUGCUAUAUGUCUGCUGGAUUUGGGAAACACAAUGGACUCUGGUCCCCUAUGCCACAGAAAGCU